GGGGAUUUAGCUCAGCAGUAGAGCGCUUGCCUAGCAAGGCCCUGGGUUCGAUCCCCAGCUCCA
rnacentral:tRNA from 1 species